rnacentral:rRNA from 1 species
UACGUAGGUGGCAAGCGUUGUCCGGAUUUACUGGGCGUAAAGAGCGCGCAGGCGGUCGGAUAAGUCGAAUGUGAAAGCCCCCGGCUCAACUGGGGAGGGUCAUUCGAUACUGAUCGACUCGAAGGCAGGAGAGGGUAGUGGAAUUCCCGGUGUAGUGGUGAAAUGCGUAGAUAUCGGGAGGAACACCAGUGGCGAAGGCGACUACCUGGCCUGUUCUUGACGCUGAGGCGCGAAAGCUAGGGGAGCAAACGGG